rnacentral:tRNA from 1 species
AGUCCCGUAGUGUAGCGGCCAAUCAUACGAGGCUCUGGACCUCGUGACCCUGGUUCGAAUCCAGGCGGGACUA